UCCGGUGAUAAUGGCGGAAAGGUCACACCCGAACACAUCCCGAACUCGGAAGUUAAGCUUUCCAGCGCCGAUGGUAGUUGGGGGUCU
rnacentral:rRNA from 1 species